rnacentral:rRNA from 1 species
UUAAAAAAAGCGUUAAAGCUUCAUUGUAAAAACCAAAAAUUCCACCAAUAAACUACAACCCUUUAUUUCGUAUUGAAUGACUUCAUACCCCUAUGAAGAACUAUAUGUUAGAACUAGUAACAAGAAGACAGCCCUUCUCCAAAAUGUAAGCUUGCGCCAUAAUGAACUAAUCACUGGCACUUAAAGUCUUUACCAAUAGUAACUCUUUUCUAGAAAACCCUAUUUAUUAAUACGUCAACCUUACACAAGCACAUCUCUGGAAAGAUUAAAAGAAUAGGAAGGAACUCGGCAAAUUCUAACCCCGCCUGUUUACCAAAAACAUCGCCUUCUGAUACACAUAGAAGGUCCAGCCUGCCCAGUGACUAAGUUAAACGGCCGCGGUACCCUAACCGUGCAAAGGUAGCGCAAUCACUUGUUCUUUAAAUGAGGACUAGUAUGAACGGCAUCACGAGGGUUAUACUGUCUCCCUAUUCCAAUCAGUGAAACUGAUCUUCCCGUGAAGAAGCGGGAAUAAAUAUAUAAGACGAGAAGACCCCAUGGAGCUUUAAACUCAGUACCACCUGCUAUUUUCAAAUCCUAUUAAUCACGCAGACAUGGUAACUAGUUUUCGGUUGGGGUGACCGCGGAGCAAAACAAAACCUCCAUAACGAAAGGAACUAACAACCUAAUCCAAGAGCAACAUCUCUAAGAAUUAAAAAAUUAACUUAAUUGAUCCAAUUACUUGAUCAACGAACCAAGUUACCCUGGGGAUAACAGCGCAAUCCAUUUAAAGAGCUCUUAUCGACAAAUGGGUUUACGACCUCGAUGUUGGAUCAGGGUAUCCCAGUGGCGCAGCAGCUACUAAAGGUUC